UGGGGAAUUUUCCGCAAUGGGCGAAAGCCUGACGGAGCAAUACCGCGUGAGGGAGGAAGGUCCUUGGAUUGUAAACCUCUUUUAUCAGGGAAGAAGUUCUGACGGUACCUGAUGAAUCAGCAUCGGCUAACUCCGUGCCAGCAGCCGCGGUAAUACGGAGGAUGCAAGCGUUAUCCGGAAUUAUUGGGCGUAAAGCGUCCGUAGGUGGUUAUGCAAGUCUGCUGUUAAAGAAUGGAGCUUAACUCCAUAGGAGCGGUGGAAACUGCAAGACUAGAGUACAGUAGGGGUAGCAGGAAUUCCCAGUGUAGCGGUGAAAUGCGUAGAUAUUGGGAAGAACAUCGGUGGCGAAAGCGUGCUACUGGGCUGAAACUGACACUGAGGGACGAAAGCUAGGGUAGCGAAAGGGAUUAGAUACCCCUGUAGUC
rnacentral:rRNA from 1 species